rnacentral:rRNA from 1 species
AGCGAACGCUGGCGGCAGGCUUAACACAUGCGAGUCGAACGGGCGUAGCAAUACGUCAGUGGCAGACGGGUGAGUAACGCGUGGGAACGUACCUUUUGGUUCGGAACAACCCAGGGAAACGUUGGGCUAAUACCGGGAUAAGCCCUUACGGGGUAAAGGAAUUUAUCGCCGAAAGAUCGGCCCGCGUCUGAUUAGCUAGUUGGUGUGGUAACGGCGCACCAAGGCGACGAUCAGUAGCUGGUCUGAGAGGAUGAUCAGCCACAUUGGGACUGAGACACGGCCCAAACUCCUACGGGAGGCAGCAGUGGGGAAGUAUUGGACAAUGGGCGGCAAGCCUGAUCCAGCCAUGCCGCGUGAGUGAUGAAGGCCCUA